CCGUCGUACAUUGAUUAAGAGUAAGAUACAUAUUACGAUUAGAAGCUAAGUAGUAAAUCGGCGUUUCUUUCCCCGAUACAUCAGAUUCCUGUAAUCGAAUCACGAUGCUACACAAAUUUUGACAUGUUAAUGGCCCAAAGAGUUCUUACGUAAACCUGCGUAACAACGUAUACUAGUCCAUGAACUUUGUAUAAUGUUAGACAACUGGGUGAAUGUAUGCGAUGCACUGUAUGUUUAUUUGACAAUUGCGACAUGAAUAAAGUAUCAGAACUUUCA